rnacentral:rRNA from 1 species
GAUCAUGGCUCAGGAUGAACGCUGGCGGCGUGCUUAACACAUUCAAGUCGAACGGAGAACGGGGAGCUUGCUCCCCGGGAUCAGUGGCGGACGGGUGAGUAACGCGUGAGCAACCUGCCUGUGUGUGGGGGAUAACACCCGGAAACGGGUGCUAAUACCGCAUAACGCAACGGAGCCGCAUGACUUUGUUGCCAAAGAUAUAUUGCGCACAGAUGGGCUCGCGUCUGAUUAGAUUAG